GUACUGGAAUGGGGUGCCAUUGCCUUCUCCAUGUGAGUAUAUAUAGUAAUAUGUAAUCUGAAAAAGGUAAAUUCUGAAAAACAAUUAUGUUCAUGCAUGCUGUUGCUUAUCACUUCCAAUAAAUAUGUAAUGAAAGUACAGAAAAUACCCCCUCCCUGAAGUCUUCAGUGACAUUAUGCAUGCAUCGUGCGCAUGAGCAAAUGUGUUCAGUAACCUUUUAAAAUCUCACGUAACCUGACUGUGCUUUGCAAACACCCAGGGCCCCUUCAGAAAGAGUCACUUGUAAACAAGUUUCAGAAUUGUGAAAAGGAUUUCAAAGGUUUUCUUUUCUCCUUUACCAAAGAAAGCCAUGUGAGAGGAGGAGGAGCAGGCGGGGGUGGGGAGUGUCAGAGAUAAGAGCUGCUGCUGCUGCUGCUAAAACCCCACACCCAGUGGCUGGUUAGUGAUUCAGUGUAGAGAGCAAUUGAGAGAGAAGCUCAGCUGGUGCCUUGAAAAAAAAAAUAGAGUGCAAGUCUGUUCUCAGCAAGUAAUAGCCUCCAUCAUUUUAACCUGGGCCAAGUGGGUGGAACUGCCCCUCCCCCCUAGCCCCCGCAGUCCUCUGGCUGCCCUUGACUUUCAUUCAUUCUGAUUUUACCAGCACAGAACAAAGACAGGGCACUGGGAGGCGAGGUGGGAACUGCCCCAGGCCGCACUCUAGGCCCAGAUCUGAAUGGGAAGUGGGCUAUUAGUCCCAGAAAUUGCUCUCUGGGUUUUCCUUGGCCUGUAUGGUUCUUUUUUGUACUUAUAUACUUUUUUCUUUUUCUUUUUUUUAAUAACUUGGUUUUGAAUUGACCAGCAGACCUGUCUGUUUGCUCAGCUUGAUCUAAAUUGGCUUUUGGUUCAAACUUCAGGUGGUUUUUCAGUUUGACUCCGCUCCUCUCUCUCCAGGAAGACAAGUUCGCCCAUAUUUAGCAUCUUUGCUGACAGAGAACCAGCAGGCUUGCUGUUUGAAUCUACAUCUGAAUGUACCAUUUGGCCAAAAAAAAAAAAAAGAUCACUCUUUUAGCAAAUUUUCUCUGCAUUGCCAGCUUUUAUGAACAAAUGGGAGACAGCUUGAGUUCUGCAAAGAGUGUUCAUCCAUCACAGUACUGGAACCUGAAGCACCUGUGGGGGCUGCCCCACACAGAGAUACUCUCUCUGGAGGACUGCGUCUUGAAAACAGAAUUAUCACUUACUCUCCUAAAUCAGUCAAUCCUGCACCUGUAGCAGUGUGUCAAUGGUGAACCUGUGUAUGCUCCUAAUAAAUUAAUAAUCAUUACCACUCAGAUGCAGUAUCACAUAUUAAAAGGGGUAGUUCAAAACAAUCCACAGAAUGUUAAGGAUAAAAGCCAGUAACUCUCCUUCCCAUAAGAUAAUUUCAAGGAACAUUUUUCUGUAAACUUAAUUUUGGGAUUCUAUAUUUGAUUUCAUGUUGAUAAAUUUGGGAGAACAGAGGUUCACAAAAAUUGUGCUUUAGAGAAUUGCCCGA